rnacentral:rRNA from 1 species
CCUUUGACGUUAGCGGCGGACGGGUGAGUAACACGUGGGUAACCUACCUAUAAGACUGGGAUAACUUCGGGAAACCGGAGCUAAUACCGGAUAAUAUUUAGAACCGCAUGGUUCGAUAGUGAAAGAUGGUUUUGCUAUCACUUAUAGAUGGACCCGCGCCGUAUUAGCUAGUUGGUAAGGUAACGGCUUACCAAGGCGACGAUACGUAGCCGACCUGAGAGGGUGAUCGGCCACACUGGAACUGAGACACGGUCCAGACUCCUACGGGAGGCAGCAGCC